GAUGAACGCUGGCGGCGUGCCUAAUACAUGCAAGUCGAGCGAACAGAUGAGGAGCUUGCUCCUCUGACGUUAGCGGCGCACGGGUGAGUAACACGUGGAUAACCUACCUAUAAGACUGGGAUAACUUCGGGAAACCGGAGCUAAUACCGGAUAAUAUAUUGAACCGCAUGGUUCAAUAGUGAAAGACGGUUUUGCUGUCACUUCUAGAUGGAUCCGCGCCGCAUUAGCUAGUUGGUACGUUAACGGCUUACCAAGGCAACGAUGCGUAGCCGACCUGGGAGGGUGAUCGGCCACACUGGAACUGAGACACGAUCCAGACUCCUACGGGAGGCAGCAGUAGGGAAUCGUCCGCAAUGGGCGAAAGCCUGACGGAGCAACGCCGCGUGAGUGAUGAAGGUCUUCGGAUCGUAAAACUCUGUUAUUAGGGAAGAACAAAUGUGUAAGUAACUAUGCACGUCUUGACGGUACCUAAUCAGAAAGCCACGGCUAACUACGUG
rnacentral:rRNA from 1 species